rnacentral:rRNA from 1 species
UGCAAGUCGAGGGGCAUCGCGGAAAAGCUUGCUUUUCUGGUGGCGACCGGCGCACGGGUGCGGAACGCGUAUGGAACCUGCCCCUGUCAGGGGAAUAGCCCAGGGAAACUUGGAUUAAUGCCCCAUGGUACCGUUAUAUCGCAUGAUAUUUCGGUUAAAGAUUUAUCGGACAGGGAUGGCCAUGCGUACCAUUAGUUAGUUGGUGGGGUAACGGCCCACCAAGGCAGCGAUGGUUAGGGGCCCUGAGAGGGGGAUCCCCCACACUGGUACUGAGACACGGACCAGACUCCUACGGGAGGCAGCAGUGAGGAAUAUUGGACAAUGGGCGGGAGCCUGAUCCAGCCAUGCCGCGUGCAGGAUGACGGCCCUAUGGGUUGUAAACUGCUUUUAUACGGGAAGAAACGCACCUACGUGUAGGUGUCUGACGGUACCGUAAGAAUAAGGACCGGCUAACUCCGUGCCAGCAGCCGCGGUAAUACGGAGGGUCCGAGCGUUAUCCGGAAUCAUUGGGUUUAAAGGGUCCGUAGGCGGGCCUGUAAGUCAGGGGUGAAAGUUUGUGGCUCAACCAUAAAAUUGCCUUUGAUACUGCAGGUCUUGAGUCAUGGUGGGGUCGCCGGAACAUGUGGUGUAGCGGUGAAAUGCAUAGAUAUCACAUAGAACACCGAUCGCGAAGGCAGGUGACCAACCAUGUACUGACGCUGAUGGACGAAAGCGUGGGUAGCGAACGGGAUUAGAUACCCCGGUAGUCCACGCCGUAAACGAUGGAUACUAGCUGUGGGGACUUCGGUCUCCGUGGCCAAGCGAAAGUGAUAAGUAUCCCACCUGGGGAGUACGUUCGCAAGAAUGAAACUCAAAGGAAUUGACGGGGGCCCGCACAAGCGGUGGAGCAUGUGGUUUAAUUCGAUGAUACGCGAGGAA